rnacentral:misc_RNA from 1 species
AAGUCGUAACAAGGUUUCCGUAGGUGAACCUGCGGAAGGAUCAUUAACACGUAUCCAACGUUAAACAACCCUGUGAAUUUUCAACACCGCCGGAAUGAGAUUAAUUUCCAACUCCGGUGAAGGCAAGUGACCUGGCACCUGGACCACAUCAAAGCUCUGACAGAGUGCCUCUGGAUCGUGCUUGAAGGGUGACGCAGUAACGAUCGCUGGAGGCCCACACGGCCGGCGACUGGGUCAGCGAGCUAACGCUCCCUCAACAACCACUUAACAUGACGACAGUUCCUCUUUAACUUGAGUUGAGCUAUAACAAAAAACUAUACAACUGUUAACAAUGGAUAUCUUGGUUCUC